rfam:Schistosoma margrebowiei strain Zambia genome assembly, scaffold: SMRZ_contig0011856
GCAUUACUGAGGAGUCCCACAAUAGGACGAAACGGCCGUCCAGUAC